UAAGUUCCUGCAACAUACUAACAUCAAAACUGGUCCAGAGUGGCACAUGUGAGGCAACUCAACUGCUCUUCGUGUGGAAUCGACAUCAAGAGAUUUUUGGAAGCAUAACUGUUUGGUACCUGGGCAGGUAGUAAUUGUUGGUCCCAGUGCCCAU
rnacentral:snRNA from 1 species